rnacentral:rRNA from 1 species
GAUGAACGCUAGCGGCAGGCUUAACACAUGCAAGUCGAGGGGCAGCGGGUCCAGCAAUGGACGCCGGCGACCGGCGCAAGGGUGCGUAACGCGUGAGCGACAUGCCCGUGACCGGGGGAUAACCGAUGGAAACGUCGCCUAACCCCCCAUAACGACGAGGGAUCGCAUGGUCCUUUGUUGAAAACCCUGGUGGUCACGGAUUGGCUCGCGUCUGAUUAGCUAGUCGGCGGGGUAACGGCCCACCGAGGCGACGAUCAGUAGGGGUUCUGAGAGGAAGGUCCCCCACAAUGGAACUGAGACACGGUCCAUACUCCUACGGGAGGCAGCAGUGAGGAAUAUUGGUNCAUGGGCGGAAGCCUGAACCAGCCAUGCCGCGUGCGGGAAGACGGGCCCUACGGGGUUGUAAACCGCUUUUGUGUGGGAGCAAUAAGGGUGUCGUGCACACCUGAUGAGAGUACCAUACGAAUAAGCAUCGGCUAACUCCGUGCCAGCAGCCGCGGUAAUACGGAGGAUGCGAGCGUUAUCCGGAUUCAUUGGGUUUAAAGGGUGCGUAGGCUGUGCGAUAAGUCAGGGGUGAAAUACCGUCGCUCAACGUCGGGGCUGCCCUUGAUACUGUCGCGCUGGAGUGCGGAUGCCGCCGGAGGAAUGAGUGGUGUAGCGGUGAAAAUGCAUAGAUAUCACUCAGAACACCGAUUGCGAAGGCAUCUGGCGAAUCCGCCACUGACGCUGAGGCACGAAAGCGUGGGGAUAGAACA